rnacentral:rRNA from 1 species
GAUGAACGCUAGCGACAGGCUUAACACAUGCAAGUCGAGGGGCAGCGGGUAUUUAGCUUGCUAAAUAUGCCGGCGACCGGCGCACGGGUGCGUAACGCGUAUGCAACCUACCUACAAGAGGGGAAUAACCCGGCGAAAGUCGGACUAAUACCGCAUAAAACAGGGGCUCCGCAUGGAGAUAUUUGUUAAAGGAGUAAUCCGCUUGUAGAUGGGCAUGCGUUCCAUUAGAUAGUUGGUCGAGGUAACGGCUCACCAAGUCUACGAUGGAUAGGGGUUCUGAGAGGAAGGUCCCCCACACUGGUACUGAGACACGGACCAGACUCCUACGGGAGGCAGCAGUGAGGAAUAUUGGUCAAUGGACGAGAGUCUGAACCAGCCAAGUCGCGUGAAGGAAGACUGCCCUAUGGGUUGUAAACUUCUUUUAUAGGGGAAUAAAAAGACUCACGUGUGAGUUAUUGCAUGUACCCUAUGAAUAAGGAUCGGCUAACUCCGUGCCAGCAGCCGCGGUAAUACGGAGGAUCCGAGCGUUAUCCGGAUUUAUUGGGUUUAAAGGGUGCGUAGGUGGGGAUUUAAGUCAGCGGUGAAAGUUUGUGGCUCAACCAUAAAAUUGCCGUUGAAACUGGAUUUCUUGGGUAUGUUUGAAGUAGGCGGAAUGCGUGGUGUAGCGGUGAAAUGCUUAGAUAUCACGCAGAACUCCGAUUGCGAAGGCAGCUUACUAAACCAUAACUGACACUGAAAGCACGAAAGCGUGGGGAUCAAACAGGAUUAGAUACCCUGGUAGUCCACGCCGUAAACGAUGAUAACUAGGAGUUAGCGAUAGACAGUUAGCUCUACAGCGAAAGCGUUAAGUUAUCCACCUGGGGAGUACGCCGGCAACGGUGAAACUCAAAGGAAUUGACGGGGGCCCGCACAAGCGGAGGAACAUGUGGUUUAAUUCGAUGAUACGCGAGGAACCUUACCCGGGUUUGAACGCAUUCGGACCGGAGUGGAAACACUCUUUUCAGCAAUGACCGUUUGCGAGGUGCUGCAUGGUUGUCGUCAGCUCGUGCCGUGAGGUGUCGGCUUAAGUGCCAUAACGAGCGCAACCCUUAUUGUUAGUUACCAUCAGGUAGUGCUGGGGACUCUAACAAGACUGCCAGCGUAAGCUGUGAGGAAGGUGGGGAUGACGUCAAAUCAGCACGGCCCUUACAUCCGGGGCGACACACGUGUUACAAUGGAUGGGACAGAGGGCAGCCACUUGGUGACAAGGAGCAAAUCCCUUAAACCCAUUCUCAGUUCGGAUCGAAGUCUGCAACCCGACUUCGUGAAGCUGGAUUCGCUAGUAAUCGCGCAUCAGCCAUGGCGCGGUGAAUACGUUCCCGGGCCUUGUACACACCGCCCGUCAAGCCAUGGGAGUUGGGGGUACCUAAAGUUCGUAACCGCAAGGAUCGACCUAGGGUAAAACCGAUGACUGGGGC